AUUGAACGCUGGCGGCAGGCCUAACACAUGCAAGUCGAACGAGUGGCGGACGGGUGAGUAAUGUCUGGGACACUGCCCGAUGGAGGGGGAUAACUACUGGAAACGGUAGCUAAUACCGCAUACCAUCGGAUGUGCCCAGCUGGGAUUAGCUAGUAGGUUGGGGAAUGGCUCACCUAGGCGACGAUCCCUAGCUGGUCUGAGCGGAUGACCAGCCACACUGGAACUGAGACACGGUCCAGAUGCCUACGGGAGGCAGGAGUGGGGAAUAUGGCACAAUGGGCGCAAGCCUGAUGCAGCCAUGCCGCGUGUAUGAAGAAGGCCUUCGGGUUGUAAAGUACUUUCAGCGAGGAGGCGUUACUCGCAGAAGAAGCACCGGCUAACUCCGUGCCAGCCGCCGCGGUAAUUC
rnacentral:rRNA from 1 species